AAGGGCACCACAAGAACGCGUGGAGCAUGUGGCUUAAUUUGACUCAACACGAGAAAUCUUACCGGGUCCGGACACACUGAGGAUUGACAGGUAUUAUUGAUUGUUUUUAACAAUCAUGUUAAAUAUGCUAGUCCUUUCAUGAUUAUGUGAUAGGUGGUGCAUGGCCGUUCUUAGUUCGUGGAGUGAUCUGUCUGCUUAAUUGCGUUUCACUAAGGGUUUAUUCAAAAAGUAUAUAUUAUACAUUGACCCCUUUCUUAACCGGAAGUGUGUUUGUCUUUGUUAAUAUUACAUUUAAACCCUGAAAGCAACGAACGUGACCGCAACGUCUUGUUGCCUGAACUGUUUUUAUUAACAAAAUCAGGCUGUUAAAACUAGGCGGACCGCUGUAACUUUUUUAAACCAGAGGAAGGUUGCGGCAAUAACAGGUCUGUGAUGCCCUUAGAUGUUCCGGGCUGCACACGUGCUACAAUGAUUGUUGCAGAAAGCAUCUAUAUUUUUGAUUGUUCUCAAAGACUUUAUCGUCGGAAGGAACCACGUACUGUCUUUAGUGUUGUUCGUUCAUUCGGGCAACACUAUUCAUGACUAACGUGCAACCUACCUCGAAAGUUCGGUAGGCAAUCAAUUCCAAGUGACAAUCUCCCGCGCACAAAUCAAAUGUUACCUUUUCGGAUGACAGUUUACUCUGUCUUCGAUGGUUAACAUGUGCUCUAUUAAUUCGUGGUCGGGACAGACCAUUGCUAAUUGUUGGUCUCGGUCUCAACUAGGAAUGCCUUGUACGGGUCUCUGGUUCAACAAACCACCCGGAAUACGUCCCUGCCCUUUGUACACACCGCCCGUCGCUCUUACCGAUGGACUUCUCUGUGAGUUUGAGGGACUGGUCUUCUCUCUUGAGUAAUACUAUGGAAACUCAAACGAACAGUGUGGUCUAAAGGAAAGAGAAGUCGUAACAAGGCAUCGGUAGGUGAACCUGCAGAAGGAUCA
rnacentral:rRNA from 1 species